rnacentral:rRNA from 1 species
UACAGAGGGUGCUAGCGUUGUUCGGAAUCAUUGGGCGUAAAGGGCGUGUAGGCGGUUUGUUAAGUCAUGUGUGAAAUCCCUCGGCUCAACCGGGGAACGACGCAUGAAACUGGCGAGCUAGAGUACCAAAGAGGGGGGUGGAAUUUCCGGUGUAGCGGUGAAAUGCGUAGAUAUCGGAAGGAACACCAGUGGCGAAAGCGGCUUCCUGGUCCAGCACCGACGUUCAGGCACGAAAGCGUGGGGAGCAAACAGG